AAUCCAUCCAUAGGACACUUCCGCAGCAAAUCUUUAAUUCUUUCCCAUGCUUCAUACAAGCUUUCAUCGUCUAUCUGCUUGAAUGAAGUUAAAUCCUUUCGAAGCUU